rnacentral:rRNA from 1 species
GACGAACGCUGGCGGCGUGCCUAAUACAUGCAAGUCGAACGCAGUGGGGACGGGUGAGUAACACGUGGGUAACCUCCCAUCAGAGGGGAUAACACUUGGAAACAGGUGCUAAACCGAUACUGAUGGAUGGACCCGCGGUGCAUUAGCUAGUUGGUGAGGUAACGGCUCACCAAGGCCACGAUGCAUAGCCGGCCUGAGAGGGUGGUCCGGCACAAUUGGGCGUGGACACGGCCCAGAAUUCUACGGGAGGCAGCAGUAGGGAAGCUUCGGAAAUGGACGAAAGUCUGAACGAGCACCGGCGCGGGAGUGAAGAAGGUUUUCGGAUCGUAAAGCUAUGUUGUUAGAGAAGCGGUAACGAAUCAGAAAGGGACGGCUAACUACGUGCCAGCAGCCGCGGUAAUUC